rnacentral:rRNA from 1 species
AACGAACGCUGGCGGCAGGCCUAACACAUGCAAGUCGAACGCUCCAGCAAUGGGGAGUGGCGCACGGGUGAGUAACGCGUGGGAACGUGCCCUUUAGUAUGGAAUAACACCGGGAAACUGGUGCUAAUGCCAUAUACGCCCUUCGGGGGAAAGAUUUAUCGCUAAAGGAUCGGCCCGCGUUAGAUUAGGUAGUUAGUGGGGUAAUGGCCUACCAAGCCUACGAUCUAUAGCUGGUCUGAGAGGAUGAUCAGCCACACUGGAACUGAGACACGGUCCAGACUCCUACGGGAGGCAGCAGUGGGGAAUAUUGGACAAUGGGGGAAACCCUGAUCCAGCCAUGCCGCGUGAGUGAUGAAGGCCUUAGGGUUGGAAAGCUCUUUUGUCAGGGACGAUGAUGACGGUACCUGAAGAAUAAGCCCCGGCAAACUUCGUGCCAGCCGCCGGGUAA